CCUACGGGAGGCAGCAGUGGGGAAUAUUGCACAAUGGGCGCAAGCCUGAUGCAGCGACGCCGCGUGAGGGAUGAAGGCCUUCGGGUUGUAAACCUCUUUCAGUAGGGAAGAAGCUGAUCUUUUGGGUUGGUGACGGUACCUGCAGAAGAAGCGCCGGCUAACUACGUGCCAGCAGCCGCGGUAAUACGUAGGGCGCAAGCGUUAUCCGGAAUUAUUGGGCGUAAAGAGCUCGUAGGCGGUUUGUCGCGUCUGCCGUGAAAGUCCGGGGCUUAACCCCGGAUCUGCGGUGGGUACGGGCAGACUAGAGUGCAGUAGGGGGGACUGGAAUUCCUGGUGUAGCGGUGAAAUGCGCAGAUAUACGAGGACGACCGAC
rnacentral:rRNA from 1 species